CAUCUCUACCGUCUGCCCUCAGCCCCUCUGCCCUCUGCCCACGCCGCCGCACCUCCGAGGCAUCUGUGCACGUCGACAUGCCUUGCCCUCCGCCGCGCCUUGCUCAUCGCCAGUAAACCACGCCUCCGCCCUCCUCCAUCUGCUCACGGCGUCGUCUGCCCUCCGCCCUCUGACCACGCCGCCAUGCCACUGCCGUCCGCCCUCUGCCCCACGUCGCUUGGCUCUGUCCUUUGCCGCACCUCCGCCACCGUGCCUCCACCGUCUGUCCACAUUGUCGCUCCUCCACGCUGUGCCCUCCGCCGCACUCUGUCCUCCGCUGGUGAGUCCCAACGUCGUGCCUCCGCGAGCCCUAACUGGCUAACUAGGACAUUUGCUCGUAAUUUUACAAACAUUAGUGAAUGUAUAUUUUUAUAGUCUAUAAGUUCAUGUUUUCAAGUAGACAAGGAAGGUGUAUUAUGAGAUAUUCUUAGUGGCAGCAGGAUUUUUUUCUUCCAUGGUCAUGUACUUAUGUUUGUAUUUUUUAUUUCUUGUAGGCUCUCUGCACAUUGCAUAUGCUACUAAUUAACCUACUACCAAUAAC
rnacentral:lncRNA from 7 species